rnacentral:rRNA from 1 species
GACGAACGCUGGCGGCGUGCCUAAUACAUGCAAGUAGGACGCAGUUGCGAACGGGAGAGAAACGCGUGGGUAACUGGCUAUUAGAGGGGGAUAACUAUUGGAAACGAUAGCUAAUACCGCAUACUAGUAGAUGGACCUGCGUUGUAUUAGCUAGUAGGUAGGGUAAUGGGCUACCUAGGCAACGAUACAUAGCCGACCCUGAGAGGGGAUCGGGCACACUGGGACUGUGACAAGGCCCAGACUUCCACGGGAGGCCGCAGUAGGGGAUCUUUGGCAAUGGGGGGAACCCUGAACGCGCAACGCCGCGUGAGUGAAGAAGGUUUUCGGAUCGUAAAGCUCUGUUGUGAAGGAAGCGGUACUUAACCAGAAAGGGACGGCUAACUACGUGCCAGCAGCCGCGGUAAUAC